UGGGGAAUAUUGCACAAUGGGCGAAAGCCUGAUGCAGCGACGCCGCGUGAGGGAUGACGGCCUUCGGGUUGUAAACCUCUUUCAGCAGGGAAGAAGCGAAAGUGACGGUACCUGCAGAAGAAGCGCCGGCUAACUACGUGCCAGCAGCCGCGGUAAUACGUAGGGCGCAAGCGUUGUCCGGAAUUAUUGGGCGUAAAGAGCUCGUAGGCGGUUAGUCGCGUCUGCUGUGAAAACUCGAGGCUCAACCUCGGGCUUGCAGUGGGUACGGGCUGACUAGAGUGCGGUAGGGGUGACUGGAAUUCCUGGUGUAGCGGUGGAAUGCGCAGAUAUCAGGAGGAACACCGAUGGCGAAGGCGAGGUCACUGGGCCGCAACUGACGCUGAGGAGCGAAAGCAUGGGAGCGAACAGGAUUAGA
rnacentral:rRNA from 1 species